ensembl:snRNA U6 U6 spliceosomal RNA
GGGCUCACUUUGACAGCACAUAUACUAAAAUUGGAAGCACACAGAGAAGAUUAGCAUGGCUCCUGUGCAAGAAUGACACACAAAUUCAUGAAGCACUCCUUAUUUUA